rnacentral:misc_RNA from 1 species
GAUGAAGAACGCAGCGAAAUGCGAUAAGUAGUGUGAAUUGCAGAAUUCAGUGAAUCAUCGAAUCUUUGAACGCACAUUGCGCCCCUUGGUAUUCCAUGGGGCAUGCCUGUUCGAGCGUCAUUUGUACCUUCAAGCUCUGCUUGGUGUUGGGUGUUUGUCUCGCCUCUGCGUGUAGACUCGCCUCAAAACAAUUGGCAGCCGGCGUAUUGAUUUCGGAGCGCAGUACAUCUCGCGCUUUGCACUCAUAACGACGACGUCCAAAAGUACAUUUUUACACGCUUGACCUCGGAUCAGGUAGGGAUACCCGCUGAACUUAAGCAUAUCAAUAAGCGGAGGA